UAGGGAAUCUUCCACAAUGGACGAAAGUCUGAUGGAGCAACGCCGCGUGAGUGAUGAAGGGUUUCGGCUCGUAAAACUCUGUUGUUGGAGAAGAACGGGUGUCAGAGUAACUGUUGACAUCGUGACGGUAUCCAACCAGAAAGCCACGGCUAACUACGUGCCAGCAGCCGCGGUAAUACGUAGGUGGCAAGCGUUGUCCGGAUUUAUUGGGCGUAAAGCGAGCGCAGGCGGUUUUUUCA
rnacentral:rRNA from 1 species